rnacentral:rRNA from 1 species
CCCUUAGAUGUUCUGGGCUGCACACGUGCUACACUGGCAGGUUCAGCGAGCUUCAUGCCCUGAUCUGAAAGGAAUGGGAAAUCUUUUCAAAACCUGCCGUGCUUGGGAUAGAUGUUUGCAAUUAUUCAUCUUCAACGAGGAUUGCCUUGUAAGCGCACGUCAUCAGCGUGCAUUGAAUACGAGCCUGUAUUCUGUACACACCGCCCGUCGCUCCUACCGAUUGAAGUUUUCGGUGAGUUGACAGGAGGAUUUUUUUGAAACUGGUUCGCCAGUGGAUUUUAGAUCCAAAUGCCAACGAAUCGAUGGCUUUAGAGGAAGGAGAAGUCGUAACA